UUCAAUAUUUCUUGUUAAAAACACGCUAAAACAUUUGGAAAUGGUAAAUAUAAGGCGAAAUACAGUUAACACCGAAAAUGACCCACAACCCCAUUACUAACCCUUUAAAACAAGAUUUACGUUUUAUUGUACUUAUCUGACCCAACUAACUUGAUAUCAGAGGUGACGAGACUUCUACAAACAUUUGUAAAUUACUCAGGUUAUAAGCUUAAUAUACAGAAAACACCACUUUGUUAGGGAUUCAAGAGGCCAACCCAAGCAAAGCAACCAUGGGUUUCACUUAAAGUGUUUAUUUUGGAGGUGGAGGUAGUUUCAGGGUGAUGAGGCAUGAAGAGCAGCCUUAAUGAUAAGACGAAUGCUCCACAAAAAGGUAAUUAAAUACUUAAGGUAAAGGUUUAAAUGUUUCACUCUUUUUUUCAACCACUUUGCUACCCACACCAACAAACAAACAAAUAUCUAUUUACAAUGCUCACAUUAGCUGCUAAAAAAGCAAUAACAAGACGUUGGCUGCUUCCUGAGCCCCUCACGGAAUCAGAGUAAAUGUUGUAAAUGAUAUAUACUUUACGGAAGCAAUGACUUUUUCUAUUAGUCACAGAAAAUCUAUGUUUAUUAAACUAUGGACCAAAUGGGUUGAGUAUAUUAAGCCUUUAAGACUAGACUUGGUUGAAGUAAGUUAAAACUAAUGUGUUAACUUUUCUUUUUAUUUCAUACUGGUCAUAACAGUGGUUGAUAGACUUCUCUUUAGUGCACUGGGCAAUUUCUUCUUUUAUUCUCUUCUUUUAUUUUACUCUCCCUCCCUCCUUAAUGUUCCAUGUGUUUACCUCUCCUGUUGAGAGAGUGGAUCAUGUAUGCAUAUUUGUUCUAAAAAUGUAACUCCUACUUACAUGCCUCUUUCUGGAAAAUAAAGAAUUAGGAAAAAAAAAACAAUAUUUAUUUCACUAAAAGGAGCAUUGCAGCAUGUGCAACGCAUUCAGUUCAUCGGCAGUCUCAACCAUUGUGAAGCUGACCCCCAACCUAUAUAAAAUCUCCCGGCAAAUAAGCCAAGCUUUUAGUGCUACGUUUGUGCUGGUUUGUGCCGUUGGAAUGAUCGUUUUUGCUGCAAUGAUGUCUGUGUUAUGUUCUGUGUGUUUUGUUAGAUUUUUGUUUCACCUUGUUUCUGUGCAGGCAGUCUGUUGGUCCUCCCUUUGCUCUGCUGCACGCACAGCUGUCUGCACUCAGCUGAUUAGGCUGCACCCUAUUUUAGUUGACUCCAUUCCUCCCUCAGUGUUGGUUCGUCUUGUAUGUUUUCCCCCAGUGCUUGUUGGAUUUUCUAGUUCAUGCGUUUUCACAGCUCCUUUAGUUUUCCCUCUGUUGAGGUGAUUUUUUGUUAUUAAAAAAUCUUUGUCAACCUGAACCUUAGUUUUGGUCCCUGCAUCUGGGUCUCUGCCUCCUGAUCCAUAACAGUCUGAGAAACCUUUCUUUCCUUUCAUCCUAUAGUAAUGAGAACACAACCUGAGGAAAUUGAGGAUUUAAAUCACCACUCCUCUCUGAGGUCCCAACUUUGGAGUUCACUUGCCAACACCAUCUCUACAACCAACGCGGGAAGGAACACAAGAUGCUGCCAUCAGCCCAUUUAGUCAAGUCAUCAUACGGGUCCUGCACACAUGGAUCUCUCCUGCAAACUAAUCAGCAUCUUUCCUUUAAUGAAAGACAGAUGGUGAGCAACGAAGCGAUCCACUCAAACUGGCAAGUUUUCGUGCUUGAAAAGGCCAUGUUUUUAUACUCUUGAACUCUGCUUCCUCUGUGGCUGAACUUGCUGUGAUAUUGGUGCUGUGAUAGAGCGUGACCAUUAUUCUUGUCCAAAGUAUUAUAUAACUUGCAAGUCUUUUUAAAUGGGGCAUAAUCUCAGGAAGGAAGUGGAUAUUAUCAUGAUUCCCAUUGUCUGCUGCAAGUGGCCUGCUCUGCUCACAUAUCUCUGUCACCCACUGUCGAAUGUCGGUCUGGAUCUCAUAAUAUGGCUCAUGAGUCUCCAGAUCUUCAGAAUCCUUAUCUGUUAGGAUGUUUGGGUCUUCAAAAACUAGACUUCAUUAGAAUUAGAAUUUGCUUUCAGAUAUUUUUUUCUCAUCUUUCUGAUAUCAGAGGGGAUCCAGCAUUGACAUCCCCCUCUGCCUCACUCAGGACCACAACAGUGAUAGCAUGUAGAAGCCGCUUUGCAUGGUCCAAGCUUUGUGAAAGAAGAAGCUGUGCCAUACACCGCACAAAAAAACCUUUGACAAAGUGUGUUUGUUUGUUGUUG